GUACUCUAGUGGCAAAACUGCUGGCUAGUGUACCUGUUCUGCCAAAAGUAAAAUGGGCUUACUGAGGAAAUUAAAUUUAUGUUCAAGUGCUAUUUCUUUAUGCACCGGGGAACAAGCAUUUCUAACAACCUGGUCCUACGUGGCUGAAACUGGAUCCCAGAAGCCCCGUCCUUCCCGAAGCUCGUAGCGGAAGUGACAUCAGCCCGCCGCCACUAUCUUUUCCCGCGCUGGCUGCCCACGGUCAGUGCUGUUUCACCUUUAUCUUGGUGGAGUCGACCCCGGCUGUGGACUUCAAAUAACCCUGUACAAAGAGGAAUGGAGAUUGCCUCUAUUCACCUAGAUUCAUAAGUUGCCCUGAGGCAAUCUUGGCAUCAAGGAAGAGAGCAUUGAGGCACAACUGACCAUCAGCUUCAGAGAAUGGCAGUCACUGAUUUGUCCCAUGGGUUUUUUCCCAGGGAACCAAUCUGCCCUUUUGAAGAAAAGACAAAGAUAGGAACGAUGGUGGAGGACUACCUGGCAAAUUCUUAUCAGGAUUCAGUGACGUUUGAUGAUGUGGCUGUGGAGUUCACCCCAGAGGAGUGGGCUUUACUGGACACAACUGAGAAAUGCCUCUACAGAGAUGUGAUGUUGGAGAACUAUGUGAACCUGGCCUCUGUGGACAAGAAGCUACAGUGGAUGGAAACUCUGAGAAUUGUGGAGAGGUCUUCAGUGAAUGGUUUUGCCUUAAAACACACAUGAGAGCUCAGAAUGGAGGGAACAUCUUUGAGGGUAAUUGUUAUGGAAAAGACAUCCUCAGUGUGCACAAGGAAGCCUCUAUUGGACAGGAACUUUCCAAAUUUAAUCCAUGUGGAAAAGUCUUCACCUUAACUCCAGAUCUUGCUGCACAUCUUGGAAUUCUCAAUGCAAGACAACCAUACAAAUGUAAGGAAUGUAGAAAAGGCUUUAAGUAUUUUGCAAGCCUUGAUAAUCACAUGGGAAUCCACAUUGGAGAGAAAUUCUGUGAAUUUCAGGAAUGUAGGAGAGCCAUCACUCAUUCCUCACACCUAAAGCAGUGUGUAACAGUUCAUACUGGAAAGAAAUCUAAAAAGACUAAGAAACAUGGGAAAUCCUUCACUAAUUUUUCUCAACUUUCUGCACAUGUGAAAAUUCAUAAAGGAGAGAAGUCCUUUGAAUGUAAAGAAUGUGGAAGAUCCUUUAGAAAUUCCUCAUCCUUUAAUGUUCACAUUCAAAUUCACACUGGAAUAAAACCACACAAAUAUACGGAAUGUGGGAAAGCCUUCACUAGGUCAACUCACCUUACUCAACAUGUAAGAACUCACACUGGAAUAAAACCCUAUGAAUGUAAGGAAUGUGGCCAAGCCUUCACUCAGUACACGGGCCUUGCUAUACACAUACGAAAUCACACUGGAGAGAAACACUAUCAGUGUAAGGAAUGUGGGAAAGCCUUCAAUGGAUCCUCAACCCUUACUCAACAUAAAAUAAUUCACACAGGAGAGAAGCCUUAUGGAUGUGUUGAAUGUGGGAAGACCUUCAUUACUUCUUCCUAUCGUAGUAAACAUUUGAAAACUCACCAUGAAGAAAGGCCCUUUGUAUGCAAGAUAUGUGGGAAAGCAUUUCUAUAUUCCUCACCCCUUAAUGUUCACCUGCAAACUCAUACCAGAGAGAAAGCCCUCAUAUGUAAAGAAUGUGGGAAAGCUUUUGCUGUUUCCUCACACCUAAGUAGACAUGAAAGAAUUCACACUGGGGAGGAACCCUAUGAAUAUAAGGGUAUGAAUGUUACCAUUUAGCUCAUUGGUUGCCAUCUUUAAUUAGUGGCAGUGACACUAAAGAUAUUCAGAUUUGUCCUAAAUGCCUUUUGGAGGUUGUAAUGGCUCAUGAAUUGGCCUUGGGUGCCAUCACAAGGGUCUGAAAUUAAACCUACAGGUUCUGAA
rnacentral:lncRNA from 1 species